AAAUUGAAGAGUUUGAUCAUGGCUCAGAUUGAACGCUGGCGGCAGGCCUAACACAUGCAAGUCGAACGGUAGCAGGAAGAAGCUUGCUUCUU
rnacentral:rRNA from 1 species